CUUCCCUUCGCCUCAUCUGCGACUCUGGGGCGAAGUCCUUCUUGUGGUGGGACCGCAUGUGAAACACCAAGUCUGAAGUCAUUCGGAAAGACAGGUUGCAUUUCGCGCACCAGUUCUGCACGGAAACACCGAAGGAGGAUUUCAAGGCAAUAAAAGCGAUGGUGUCAUAGAAGGUGUUCUGCAGGACGAAGGGACCGAAAGCUGCGCCGAGCGGAAGGUCUCGAGUCACAUGGACGCUCGUCAGGACAUCCGCCAGACCGCGAGCACUGGAUGCUGCUUUGUGAGGAAGGUGCAGAUCUGGCCCAGUGCCGGCGGCAGUCCACGGCGGAACGAGAACGCGCAGCGCGAUGUCUGGUCCCGACUGCCACUUGCGCUGCUGUGUCAGACACUU